AAUGAGCCACAGCUGCGAAGUCCUUAGUUGGGCAGCAGCUGUGGCUCGUAAAGAUAACUGGAAUAAAAGGGGUGGGUCGAGAGGCCUGGAGGAGCCCUUGUGAAACCUUGAGGAACUGCGCAGCAGAGAAGAGCUACGUGGUAGAAAACCAGCUAGAAGGAAACCCCUUCUCUCACACUGCUUUUCAAUACAAUCCACCUCCCUCCAAGGAGAUAUGAAAACAAUAUGGCGGAGAAGUCCCUUUCUCCAGACCACGUGACUGAAUGAAAGAACAAAGGAAAAACGACACAGAAACUGAGCCUCCGCGAUUCCAGAACUCCCUCCUUCCCCAAAGAACAACCUGCAAGGGACAGAGACAAAGCCAAAACCCGGAAGAAUCAUUUUUCAAAAAAAAAAGAGUCACUGCUGCCGAGCUGCCUGCUCCAUGCCUUACGACGGGCAGCGAUCCGGUUGGCAGUUGGGGGUUGCGAAAUACCAUUUCCCGAGGCUGUGUAGUUCCUGCCGGCAGUAACAGCUAUGGGCUUGUGGCGAGAAAGUCCGAAGAAGUGUCUCUGGCAGCUUCGGGCAAGCUUCGCCCCCCCUUCCUUGGAAAACGGCAGGCAGCUGGAACUUUCGUGGAGAGCGGGUCUGACCCCUCCUCUGCAAAAGAGCAGGCAGCCACAGCGAAGUUGUCGCUGUUAUAGAUACAUAUUAUAGUAUUGGCUACAUAUUAUAAUAUUGGCUU